UUCCUUUUCUUCUCUCUCGACAAAAUCAAAACGAGAGAAAUGCAAAAUCGAUUCGACGGAAUAGCUCUUGCCUCGUCGUCUUCUUCUUCCUAUGACUGUAUUCAUCGAUAUCGGUUGAUGAAUACAGUGGUGAAAGAGAUCUCGCCUUGUCGUCUUCUAAAUCGAUUCCACGAGGCAUUAGAGGCUGCACAAAAGAGAUGGACUACAAGCGAUUUCGAUGUUGGGAAGGCUGUUGGUAGAGGAAAGUUUGGCCAUGUUUAGAAAGCAAGAGAAAAGCGGCAGAGCAUAUUCGGACUGUUCCUCCCGUGAUUGUGAAUGCAGCGAAGUCACGUCAACACAAGAGAACGAAAUUGUCUGGUCUGUCGUACAUGCUCUUCCCGUGAGGACGCACAAGGUUCCCUAAACCCGUGAACACGUUUGUUCAAUAAACUUGUAUAUAUACCAAGUAUGUAUCGGCUACUCUUGAUUAUAAAAACUCUCACAUUUCAAAUAAGCUCCCAAUUGCAAACAA